CACACACACUCACACACACACACCAGCUUCGCCUGGGCGGGAGUAGGGCAGGAGUUGCACAGAUGAACAAGUCCUAGAUGUGGCGCGGGGGGAUAUUACGUGUAAAUGCGCCGUAGGCAUCUACAAGCGGGAGUGUGCCCGUGUGUUUUUUGUGUGCACCGAGAGGGCGGUGUGCGCAUACCUCUGUGCUAAGAUAGUGUGGGUGCAUAUACGCCUGUGUGUGCUCGCAAGUUGUGUGUACAAUGAGAGAGAAAUCUGAAAGCCCCCAAUACAAUGCUGUGAUCAAGUUGUAUUGAUUUAACGUGCCUUGCAAAGGGCGCGCUGGCUCUGUAUUCUAAAGUGGCUUUUGACUAGCAGUUCAAAGCCCGGACUCUUCUUUGCAACCCCCUAAUUUUAUAAGAAGUAGAGGGGAGAAGGGGGAGGGGGAAGAUAAACUGUAUGACUCCAGCCCUACGCCAGAUACUGGACACUGAAUCUAGGUGGGGCCCACCACCGCGCGCGGUGCCUGCCAAUCGAUGCAACUGCGAAACGCUCCUGGACCGUAGCAGACCGUGAAGGGCGUCAGAGCAGGCAACGGCGAGGCACGGGGAGGCUUGAACUAUUUGGGGGCGGCCGCGCGGCGCAUCGCCGUUUUAAAUCCCUGGCCGAGGUCACUGGCGGCGGGGUUGGCCAGGCAGCGUUCAGCGGGGGAUGGAGCUCCAGAAUCACACGCCAAGCGCCCCGGGCUUCCUUGUAUGUACAUGGAUCUUCCAGAGAACAAUAUUGGCAUUAACAUUCCCGCUGCACUAAGGAGAACUUCACUCCAAGUAUCUCACCUCUGAAUGUUUUGUCCUUCUGUGUUGAGCAGCGUGGCAAGGUAGCGCUCAGGGUUCAUUUCCUUUGGACAUCAAAAUCCAGGACCUGAUACUGCAAGGAUCCCCGAUGCCUCUUGAGAUGAAGGGAUUGCUUGAUGAAAGGGCUGAGAAAAGGCCACAGUAACAUGACUUUCCUGUUGAGAUGCUCUCAGCAGUUCCUCGGGGCUCCUCACAUGUGAACGCAUGCAGAGUCACUUGGCCUCAGCAGCCGUAUGACACAGCAAGAAAUAAUCUGCCCAGCUCCGGGGUCAAAGACAUUUCUAUCCCACGAGGCACUAAGGACAAUAGGGUUUAUUUUCCCCUUUGACACAUCUUGGAAGCAAUGUACAUCCCAUCUGCUCUGGGCUGGAAGAAUUGCUUCACACCAGCAGGUUCAAGCUUCUUUGUUAGCUACUGUGGACAUCUUUCUAAAAGCUUUGCUCUUGUCCAGCCACACGUUCCUGGGUGGAAUUUUAUGGCCUGAAUUACGCAGGUCCGAUUCGAUGAUGCUAAUGGUCCCUCCUGGACAUACCUGGAGGGAUAAUGUAAUAAAUACUGGCUCAUGUUGGCUAACCUCCCCUAAAUCGCCACGCGCACACACUAAGGUGUAGGCAGUGCAACCUAGUGGUCAGAGCAGGAGACUGGCCUAGUGGUCAGAGUUGAGUCAGUGGGCAGAGCCAGGCAAGCCAAUGGUUGGAGCUAGAUGUCAGAACAGAACCAAACGGGAUAGCCUGAGCUGUGGUCAGGAGGCAAGCCAGUGGUCAGAACCAGGAGGCAGGCAGGGACUAGGCAGGAGCAGAGCAGGCAAAGGGGGGAGGAUGGACUAGACAGGAAGCAGGUCUGGUGCAGCUGCAGGCAUGGGACACGUUGAGCAGCCACUGUGUUGUUGUUGCUACAGUGUUUAUAUGGUGAUCUGUUGGCUCUUUUGACCAACCAGGAAGCACAGUCACUUAGUGCAGGUUUAUUGGGCCCAGCCCAGCUGAGUUCCUGGCACACAUGUUGCAAAAGUGACAACAUCAUGUGUUCACCUGCUACGAUGUCACCAACGCUCGUGGUUUUAACACGCGUGUCACAAUGGUUCGUCUUUGUCUUGAAGCUCCAGCUUCUGGAAUCCUGGGGUUAAACGUUCAUUAAAAAAAUCAAAGCACAUUUCUAGCUCUCGGGUUUGUGCAGAACAGUUUGAAAAUAUGAACCAACUGCAUCUAAAAGGCUUGCAAUCUAGCAGGAAAAUAAAAAGAACCCGUUGUUUUUUUAAAAAAAUGCAUGAAUUUUAUGCCAUUCUCAUGAUUUUAAGGCGGGUGACUUAUGAGGUGUGUAUAUUUGGGGUUGGCACUAUUGGCCCAGCCCGACACAAAGCUCACUUGAACACUAUAAUGCUAGGAGUAGGAAUAAUUGAAGGAGCAGUUGCAUGCCCCAGGCAAUUGUAUAUGUGGGGAAAUGACUUUCCCCCUUCAUUGGUUAAGCUGCUGGGCUUUCAGCAUAAGGGAGUUCCAUGUAAACCAAAGUUCAGGGGUGGUUUGUUUAGAAAGGUGAGGGACGUGAAGGAGCAGAAAAGGCUCAGUUUCAUCAUGGUCCGGUCCCUUCCAUGAUUGCGCCAUGGAAUACCCACAGAGGCGUUUCCUCCACAACUUGGGGAGGAAGCAGGAUCAGGGGAACCUGUUUUCUGCUAUGCAUUGCAGGUGCUGCAGUCACCCGUCAGAAUCUGGCUCAGAACCUUCAGACUGCAGCUAAGUCUUGCCAAAGUCAUUUCCCAGAUUGUCUGAAAGUUAAUGCGCUCACUUACUUUUUUUUUUCUUUUUAGCAUAUUGGCUUAAUCCGUCAAAUAUCAAAUAUCAUGGGAAAUACCGAGAUUAAUGUAAUGUAACUAUUGGCCUUUAUACGUCCAGGAUCUUUUCCUGGGGUUAUUAAUGACUUUGCGAGGGGAAUUCAGGGACACAGGCCUUCUCUUUUAAAACGUCUAAGUGGAAUUUUCAGAGAAAAGAGAAGCAGGUAUUUUAAUGAUUUUGUACAAUGCCUGGAUCAAAAUUGAAAAUACCAUUGUCUCAUUUGCACAAGGUGUUCUGGUUAUUUUAUGACACAAUGAGGAAGUAGACACAAGCCAGCAUUUUUCACAGGUUACCCAUGAGGAGAUGGAGGAGAGAGAUUAAGUGACUUGCCCCAGGGCAGAGAUCUAGGAGCCAGGAGUUCCUGGCAUCCAGACCUAUGUUCAGCCCUCCCAUCACUCUAGCAUUCUACAUCUGUUUUAAAAUUGGUUAUAGAUGCAUGCCAAGCAGUGAAUCAGCUACCAUAAUGGGGAUGGUGUGCUGUUGGCAAAUUGUUUUCAUUACAUUUCUAGCAAUAGAAACUACCUGCAGGAAAGCACUUAGAUACUAUACAAAGAAAAAAAUAUUGUGGUUUGAGCCAUUACCAGUUCAUGUUUUACGAGCGCUAAUUUAAAAAAAAUAAUUUCUUCUCCUGUUUAUAGAUUGGGUUUUAAUGUGAUGCUACUUAGUUUUUUUUGUUAAAUUGCAUUAAUUAGAAAUUAAUUUCAAAUUAUUGUUAAACCAUAUAACUAGCCUGUGGCUCGUCUUAGUAUUUGUACUUAGGAACAUUAAAAACAACUUUGUUUUCAUGAAAUGCCUCAGGAAAUUCAAAAUCUCCUCGUUGAUUUAUGUGGGCCUUUAUUAGUUAUUAUUACAUGGCACUGGCAGCCAGGGGCCCUAGUUAAGGAUCACCCCAUUGUGCCAGGUGCUGUACAGACAUAUAGGAAGAAGAUUGCCCCCAAUCUAGGUUAUGAGAAAGUGUAACAGGUGGGUGAGAAAAACAAAUGAGGGAGAGGGGCAGGGAGCACAAGGUACCAGUAAAGUAAAUUAUGUUGCAUCGUCAUUCUGAUAUGCAUCGUUUAUACCAUGAGCAAUAAUAAUCAUGCACACGCAAUAGCCAGAUUCGCUGAUCUUUUACGCAAAACUAAACUGGAGCUGGAGCUAGGCAACAUUUUUAAUGCUUUU